ACUCCUCGAAAAAAUCGUCCUCCAAAACUCCGCCUUCAGCGGAAACUUCAACCUCCAAAACCUUCUCAUCUUAACCGCAAUCAAAGCCGACCAAUCACGCGUCAUGGAUUAUGUCAACCGGUUAGACAACUUCGACGGGCCCGCGGUUGGUGAGGUGGCGGUGGAAGCUCAGUUAUACGAAGAAGCGUUCGCGAUAUUCAAAAAGUUUAAUCUAAACGUUCAAGCGGUCAAUGUUUUGUUGGAUAAUAUACAAAGCAUUCCACGCGCUGUUGAGUUUGCGUUUCGUGUUGAAGAGGAUGCGGUUUGGAGUCAAGUGGCGAAAGCUCAGUUGAGAGACGGAUUAGUGAGCGAUGCGAUUGAGUCGUUUAUUCGUGCUGAUGAUGCGACACAGUUCUUGGAUGUGAUUCGGGCUUCCGAGGAUACGGAUUGUUACCAUGAUUUGGUUAAGUAUCUGCUUAUGGUUAGAGGAAAGGUUAAGGAGCCAAGGGUGGACAGUGAGCUGAUUUACGCAUAUGCCAAGAUUGAGAGGUUGAGUGAUAUCGAGGAGUUUAUUUUGAUGCCGAAUGUUGCCAAUUUACACAGUGUUGGUGAUCGUUUGUUUGAUGAAGCAUUGUAUGAAGCUGCCAAGAUUAUAUACGCUUUUAUUUCAAACUGGGCUAAGCUUGCUGUGACACUUGUGAGGCUGCAACAGUUUCAAGGUGCAGUUGAUGCAGCACGUAAAGCAAAUAGCGCAAAGACUUGGAAAGAAGUUUGUUUUGCUUGUGUUGAUGCUGAGGAGUUUCGUUUGGCUCAGAUUUGUGGGCUUAAUAUUAUCGUGCAGGUAUCGUUUGUUCACCAUUUAUUCUCCUUUUCUGUUUUUCGAGUAGCAUAUAAAUUUAAAGUUUUCAUAAAAUUUACAGGUGGACGAUCUUGAAGAAGUGAGUGAAUUCUACCAAAACCGUGGAUGCUUCAACGAACUAAUUCUCCUCAUGGAAAGUGGUCUAGGCUUAGAACGGGCCCACAUGGGAAUCUUCACCGAAUUAGGUGUCCUCUACGCCAGAUAUCGCCACGAAAAACUAAUGGAGCACAUUAAACUCUUCUCAACACGUCUCAACAUUCCAA
rnacentral:lncRNA from 1 species